GAAGGAGCCAGCCACAAGCAACCAAAAUAGAUGGAGGUUAACUAGGGGAAAUAGGUAAUAGUCCAUCCAUGGCCCCAGACCUAAAAUUGCAGCUGGGCCCUUAAGAUUAAGACCACAGCCAAAGUCAUUACCUUGAAAUUCCAUAGUGGAUUGGAAUAAAGUUAGUAUUUAAAUUGAUUUUAAAGGAGGUAAAAAAGAAUUCUCAAGGCUCCCUUUUUUGGCUAAUCUCAUAUUCCGAUUUCCUAACCCUUUAAUUUUUCCAUUCCCUUCAUCAGAGAGAAAACCAGUGGGUAGUAGACGUCAAUCAAAUGGUGUUUUAAGGACCGUUUGCCUCCCACAGCCAUCGUUGGUUAAACUCAAGUGCCUGAUUUUGGAGAGGAAAGUGCAUGUGGAUUUUUCUGUGUCCGUUUGUGGGCAGGUGAUGCAGUGAGGCAGGUCAGUUUAAAAAGGUGUACGUCCAUUGUUUCAGAAAGAGAGAGAAUGAAUGAAUCAUUCUGGACGUGUGUGUGUAUCCAUAUCCAUACUUUUUUGGGAUAACUCAAGGUUACCAAAAUGGGGUCAAACUAGGCAUGUGGUUUGUAACAUGCAUUGGACACAUUUUUCAUGUCAAUCAUGAUGGCAUUAAAAGUUGGUACCAUAAUUUAUUUAACUAAUACACUGUUGAGUAUUGUGCAUUUAGAGUAUUUCCAGAUGUUUACUAUUCUUAUAUAUGUCUGUAUAAUUGCAUGCAGUUAUCACUUAUGCUAAAUUCCUAGACUUGAAGUUGUUGGAAUGAAAACGAUAUACAUUGUAGAUUUACUACAUAUUGUCAGAGGAAUCUCAGAAAGUUUAUACCAGUUUAUGCUCUCACCAGCAGGAAGCCUCAACAUACCUGGGCAUCGUUGAUAUUCUUAAUCUUGAUUAAUCUGGUAGGUGAAAAAUGACCUUUCAAUGUUUUGUUUGCAUUUCUCUGACUAAUUUGCAUGUUGACUGGUCAUUUGUAAUUCUGUUGUGGUGAUAUGCCUUUUUUCUCAGUAGUUGGCUUGUCUUAUAUUGAUUUGAAAAAGCUCUUUGUAUUAUAGUAAUUUUUACUUUUAGCUGUCACACGUGUGGUAAACUAAUUUUCUACUUUAUUAUUUCCCUUUUGACCUGUUUGUGUCAUGCACUGCCGCGCAAAAACUUUAAAUUUGUGUAGUCAAAUGUAUCAGUCUUUUUCCUUAUGUAUUUUGCCUUUGGUACCAUGCUUAGAAGGAGUUUCCAAUCUCAAGGUAAUAACUAUAAUUCAGCAGUUAAAAAAACAUUUAAAUCUUUAAUCCAUCUGAAACAUUUUAGUAUAAGGAAUGAGGUCGGGAGGGGUCUUUUUUUAUUCUUGCUAAAUGGUUUAGCCAGUUGUUCUAUGAAUAUUCCUUGACUGUUAUUUUUUUCCCCUCGUGAUUUGACUCGUAUACUGAAUCAUAUACUAGAGUCUAUUUCUGAACUUUCUCUUUUGUUCUGCUGAUUUAUUUCUGUGCCAGUACCACCUGCUAUAAGUUUAAAAUAGGGUUUUUUUUUUUUAGUACCAACUAAAAGUAAGUUACCACCCUUUUUCUGUUAAUUCUCAGAGUAUUCUCAGGUUUUAUUAUAUAUUUAUUCAUGUAUACAUAUUUAUUAUACGUAAACUAAAGAAUUAUUUGGUCAAGUUCCCCCCAAAAUCUUCAUAUUUUUCUUGGGGUUGUAUUAAAUAAAGAGUGCUCUUAUCC
ensembl:lncRNA